UUGAACGCUGGCGGCGUGCUUAACACAUGCAAGUCGUACGUGAAAGUGGCUUCGGCCAUGAGUAAAGUGGCGCGACGGGUGAGUAACGCGUGGAUAAUCUGCCUGGUAAGUGGGGAAUAACGGCUGGAAACGGCCGCUAAUACCGCAUGAGCUUCAUAUUUAGCUUUAUGAAGGAAAGAGGGCCUCUGCAUAUGCUCUUGCUACCGGAUGAGUCCGCGUCCCAUUAGCUAGUUGGCGGGGUAACGGCCCACCAAGGCGACGAUGGGUAGCUGUUCUGAGAGGAUGAUCAGCCACAUUGGAACUGGAACACGGUCCAAACUCCUACGGGAGGCAGCAGUGGGGAAUAUUGCGCAAUGGGCGAAAGCCUGACGCAGCGACGCCGCGUGAGGGGAAAAGAAGGUCUUCGGAUCGUAAACCUCUGUCAGAAGGGAAGAAGUUAGUACGCGCUAAUCAGCGUACUAUUGACGGUACCUUCAAAGGAAGCACCGGCUAACUCCGUGCCAGCAGCCGC
rnacentral:rRNA from 1 species